AUUCGGCGCGCACCGGGGAAAAGCCUCUGUAUUUUCCUGAGCCGCUCGCCCACACCCGCUGUGGAGUGGCGAAGAGUUCAAACAAAACGGCGUUGCACUCGGGGCUGAGUGACACCCACGCUUUGUUCUCCGCAAACGAGCAAAGUCAGAUGUGAUUUCCAUGGCAGCUUUUUCCUCGAAGCCGUAUGUGACCAUUGGAGCAUCAGAGCGUGAGAGCGCGACGGCUCAGAUGGAGACGGGAAAGAAGGAGGCGAAGACGGAGGAGUCGUCGCCGCUUACCAGUGGUCUCCACGAUGCCCUCCAGGAUCACCACGAUCUCAAACUGCUCACUGGUUUCUCUAUACGUCCACUAACAUCAUCAACAACAUCAGCAACCCCCUCGGCCCCCCCACUGACCCGUCCAUGACAUUGCCGCCGGCCAACGACCCCCAUGAAGUCCCCCUGCGAGUGUCAUGUGAGUAAACAGCCUCGUCUCCUAUUGAAUAUGAAUGAGGUGUGCCGCAGGGUUCCGUGUCGUUGCCGCUGUUCACUUGUUAGCAACUUCGCGGCUUGUGAGCAAGCCCGUCAAAACUCCUUACCUCCGUCCUUUCCACUUUUUUUUUUUUCGCUGCCUUGUCUCUUGUCACAUUAACAAGAUGGAUGAGCAUCCCGUAUGGCGACAGUCCACAGGCGAAGCGGCUUACAAGUCUGCUGUCUUUUCCCAGAGUCUCUGUGCCUCAAAUAAGAGGAUUUCGCUUCCCUAGCGCCGCGUUUACUAGACUUGACUUGCUAUGUGCUUAAAUGGGGCGGCCCGGUAGUCCAGUGGUUACCACGUCGGCUUCACAGUGCAGAGGUACCGGGUUCGAUUCCAGCUCCGGCCUCCCUGUGUGGAGUUUGCAUGUUCUCCCCGGGCCUGCGUGGGUUUUCUCCGGGUGCUCCGGUUUCCUCCCACAUUCCAAAAACAUGUGUGGCAGGCUGAUUGAACACUCUAAAUUGUCCCUAGGUGUGAGUGUGAGCGUGGUUGGUUGUUCGUCUCUGUGUGCCCUGCGAUUGGCUGGCAACCGAUUCAGGGUGUCCCCCGCCUACUGCCCGAAGACAGCUGAGAUAGGCUCCAGCACCCCCCGCGACCCUAGUGAGGAUCAAGCGGCUCGGAAGAUGGAUGAAUGAAUGAAUGAAUGAAUGUGCUUAAAUGUAUACACUUCCAGAGCCCGGAAUCGAACCCUGUACCUCUGCACUGUGAGCCCAUCGUGCUAACCAAGUCUUAAUGCAAAUGUUUCAUUAAGUUCUCUCGCUCACUGCACCUGUGGCAUUUUGCUGUUCCAUCGGUACUCGGCAGCCGCUCACUGAGUGACAGACUCAUCUUCCUCCUCCUUCUCCUCUUCUUUGUCUUUCUGUUGGCAGCUGUCAGCCACUAAUUAUCCACUACGCCGAUCGCCCCGCAACUUCCUGUCCAAACAGCCGCCAUCGUUUCACGCUUUCACACAAACGGACGGCGGCGGGAUCUGUGAGGUCCGACACAAUCCCUCUUAAAACGGCAAUUUGUUUGGCUUCGGAAACAGUUUCCAUCAGAGCUUCAAUGAAGCUUCGUUAACUCUCCAGGCAAUGUUUUAAAAAACAUAUUUAACACUCAAUGGUGGUGGUCAAGGCCAACAAAAUAUUUUCCAUUCUCAGAAGCUCGGUUCCGCUUUGUCCAUCUACAACCUACAUUUUAAUAUUUAUUCUAUGAAAUUGUAUUCACUUAUUUCCAACAGUCUCGUAUUAAACAAUCCAUGAAGCGUACCGAAUCGCUUGUGGUUUUGUCGAUGCGAUUGUGUGCGAUUACGCUUGACGGGCCGAUUGCGUGUUUGCAAAUGUGGAAAAAGUCCAACUCCUCCUCCUCCUCAUUCAUGCAUCAUUAAGCCUCCUGACACAACACUCCCCAUGUGGCGAAAAGAGGAGCGGCUCCCGACUAAUGCAGUUUCUUUUUUUUUUUUUUACGGCCCUUUUUUUGCAUGCUGAACGUGGAUAUAAUGGGAAGGAAGUCAUUUAUGAUAAUUAAAGAGCGGACGGUCAA